rnacentral:piRNA from 1 species
UUGGAAGCUGUCCUGGAACUAGU